UACGUAGGGUGCUAGCGUUGUUCGGAAUCAUUGGGCGUAAAGCGCGUGUAGGCGGUCAGUUAAGUCUGGUGUGAAAGCCCUGGGCUCAACCGAGGAAGUGCAUCAGAAACUAACUGACUAGAAGACGGUAGAGGAAGGUGGAAUUCCCAGUGUAGAGGUGAAAUUCGUAGAUAUUGGGAGGAAUACCGGUGGCGAAGGCGGCCUUCUGGGCCGAUCUUGACGCUGAGACGCGAAAGCGUGGGGAGCAAACAGG
rnacentral:rRNA from 1 species